rnacentral:rRNA from 1 species
AGCGAACGCUGGCGGCAGGCCUAACACAUGCAAGUUGAACGAACUCUUCGGAGUUAGUGGCGGACGGGUGAGUAACACGUGGGAACGUGCCUUUUGGUUCGGAAUAACUCAGGGAAACUUGUGCUAAUACCGAAUGUGCCCUUCGGGGGAAAGAUUUAUCGCCAUUAGAGCGGCCCGCGUCUGAUUAGCUAGUUGGUGAGGUAACGGCUCACCAAGGCGACGAUCAGUAGCUGGUCUGAGAGGAUGACCAGCCACACUGGGACUGAGACACGGCCCAGACUCCUACGGGAGGCAGCAGUGGGGAAUCUUGCGCAAUGGGCGAAAGCCUGACGCAGCCAUGCCGCGUGAAUGAUGAAGGUCUUAGGAUUGUAAAAUUCUUUCACCGGGGACGAUAAUGACGGUACCCGGAGAAGAAGCCCCGGCUAACUUCGUG